CCUACGGGCGGCAGCAGUGAGGAAUAUUGGUCAAUGGCCGAGAGCCUGAACCAGCCAAGUCGCGUGAAGGAAGACGGCCCUAUGGUUUGUAAACUUCUUUUAUAGGGGAAUAAAAGUCUCCACGUGUGGGUUUUUGUAUGUACCCUAUGAAUAAGCAUCGGCUAACUCCGUGCCAGCAGCCGCGGUAAUACGGAGGAUGCGAGCGUUAUCCGGAUUUAAUGGGUGUAAAGGGCGCGUAGGCGGGUUUGUAAGUCAUUUGUGAAAGCGUAGGGCUCAACCGUAGAAUUGCAAGUGAUACUGUCAGACUCGAGUACAGAAGAGGUGGGCGGAAUUCGUGGUGUAGCGGUGAAAUGCUUAGAUAUCACGAAGAACUCCGAUAGCGAAGGCAGCACACUGGAUUGCAACUGACGCUGAGGCGCGAAAGCGUGGGUAGCAAACAGGAUUAGAUACCCUUGUAGUC
rnacentral:rRNA from 1 species